rnacentral:rRNA from 1 species
GAUGAACGCUGGCGGCGUGCUUAACACAUGCAAGUCGAACGGAAAGGCCCAAGCUUGCUUGGGUCCUCGAGUGGCGAACGGGUGAGUAACACGUGGGUGAUCUGCCCUGCACUUCGGGAUAAGCCUGGGAAACUGGGUCUAAUACCGGAUAGGACCACUUCUUGGAUGUUGUGGUGGAAAGUUUUUUCGGUGUGGGAUGAGCUCGCGGCCUAUCAGCUUGUUGGUGGGGUAAUGGCCUACCAAGGCGUCGACGGGUAGCCGGCCUGAGAGGGUGUACGGCCACAUUGGGACUGAGAUACGGCCCAGACUCCUACGGGAGGCAGCAGUGGGGAAUAUUGCACAAUGGGCGCAAGCCUGAUGCAGCGACGCCGCGUGGGGGAUGACGGCCUUCGGGUUGUAAACUCCUUUCGCUAGGGACGAAGCGUUUUGUGACGGUACCUGGAGAAGAAGCACCGGCUAACUACGUG